UUAAAGGAAAUAUAGCGUUGUAUCCGGUUUUUUAAAUUUAUAUUUGAGCAGUAAACAUGUCGAAAUCAAAGAGUAUUGAGUUAGAUUGCAUGAACUGAUUCCGAAUGGGACUGAACAUAACAAACAGCGACGUGAUCUCCAGCUCUAUGUAGGUGUAAUUUUUUGCACUUGUGGCUGUAUGUGUUCAACAUUGUGUUGUAAAUGGAUACUGUGAAUCUGUGAGUAUGGAGUAGAACUGAGCUAAGUUGAUGGCGUUGUGGUUCAAUUUCUGUAGAGAAAUGUGUAUUGGAUUGGUGUUAAGAAUAUGUUAUUGGUAGGGUUUUAAACGGUGUUUCAAUUUUCUUCUCAAGGCAGAAUGGAUCCUGAUCCUCAAGAUUCAUUAGUAACCAGUUCUGAGGAUGUACUUCUUUCUGAGAAAGCAUCCACAUCAGCUAUGGCAUUACCGCAAUACUUGAAGAAAAAAAAUCGGAAGAAGAAGUCUAAGGAGCUAAAUGAAAAAUUCCCAUGGCUUCGCAGCUUUCUCAAGCUGUGCCAUACAUCACUUGGUGUCAACAGUAUCAAAGUUCUACUAAACCUCAUCACGGUUUAUACUGAACAUGUAUCAAGAGAUGUAAUAGCAAGCUACUCCAAACCCAAUAGGGCAGCUAAGCUGAAGAAGAACAUGAUUGAUGUACUGUGUUUCUUUCACAACUGUUAUCUGUGUUGUAACUAUCAUUAGUUUCUACUAUAACACUGAUACAACUUUGCCUGUUGAUUUACAGACAUGUAUCAAGAGAUGUAAUAGCAAGCUACUCCAAACCCAAUAGGGCAGCUAAGCUGAAGAAGAACAUGAUUGAUGUACUGUGUUUCUUUCACAACUGUUACAUGAACAUCAAAACGCCUCUAGAUGAAACUGUGUAUAUGGAAAAGAUGUCACACUUAUUGACUAUGUACAUGGACAUGGAGAUAAAAGCUUCACGACGGGGAAAAGAAAAUGUCAAGAGAAUCACAAGCAAGGUGAUUUCAGCGUUGUUCAUUAUACUGAAUAACUCUUCAGAGUACAUAUUGGAUACAAUAUUAAAAGCUCGAUUCACCGUGAAAAGCUACAGUGAAAUUUGUAUUCCAAUUUUCAAGAGAGUGGUGAGCCUGGCAGUAUCACAGGACCUGACGUAUGUACGUUGCCUCCUGGUGUUCAAGUUGUGGAAACGGUUGGUGCCCCGUGGUGAGGAGCGGAACAGCCUUAAUCGCCUGGCCGUUUCCACCCUAAGCCCUCCACCACCGCAGUUGCUGGAAAUGGUAAAGCGUGGGAUGUUGAAGAAUGUUUUGCCGACACUACCUCCUAACAAGAAACCUGCACUGGUUACCAGGUUCUACAUGACUUCCAAGUUCAACUUGCGAGAAUCCAUCAAGGCAUUCUUGAAGAUAUCUUCUGAGUUCAAACUCAACGAGUUGUCUUCCAUCUUAGACACAUCAAGAUUUUUUGAUGAACCUUUCGAGCAGGAAAGCUUUUUGUUGUCUGGAAAAGAUACGGAUGACAGCUUCAUGGAAUCCAUUUGGAAAAAUAUUUCAGACAAUUCUCCUUCAUUGUCAGAUAGUGCAUCUCUUGAUGUAAUGCUUAGUGUGGACUCACCUAAAAGUCCAAAAAGUAAAAAUAAAUGUAAACUUUUUAAAAAGUCAGAAAAAAAGAACACAGAGAAGAAUAAUAAGUCAAAACUUAAAAACAAUAAACAGAACAAGAAAGGGCAGAAAGUAACUAAAGACGUUUCUGAACAGAGUUUUACAAACAUGCCUUUAGAGUUUUUAAAGAAAAUCAAAUUAAUAAACAACAACAUUGAUAGGGAAGAAACCUGUGGUAAAUCAUCGCCAUCAUCGACUGUAAAUGAUGAUUGUGAAGUUAAGAAAAAUAACAAAGACUGUGAGAUUUCACAAACAUUGCCAAUUUUACAUUCAGACCAACAAUUCCCCAAAAAUAAUGUCAAUCUCAAAGAAACAAUUGAAGAAAGAGGAAGUAGUAACUCAUCAAAUGAGAAAAGCAAUACUCUUCUGAAAGAUAGGGAUUGUGAAAACAACAUUUCUCUAAAUUACAAGAAAUGUAGUGAAGAUAUAUCCAAACCUGUAAAUUGCACUGAAAAAUCAGAAUUUGAUCCUUUGAGUUCCAAAAUUAACAUAAAUGAAAACUCUGCAAAAAAUUGCAUAGAAACUUUAGGAGUUUCAAAAUCUGAAAACCACUUUGAAACUGCCAGUUUAGAAGGUGAAAAAUUGGAUGUUUCUCAUGUAGUUGCAAAUGAUACCAGCUGUCAACAAGUCAGUGAAUGCAUUAAAGAAGAAAUAAUCAAUGACUCAAAUUUUGUUGUAAAAGACAAUAAUAUCUGUGAAGAUCAAUCUUUUUCAAAAUUAUCUACUUUAUGUGAAACAAUUACAAAUGGACAAGAAGAAAAAUCAACAAAUAGCAAUGCAAAUAGUGUUUUGGAAGCAUCAUUCCCUUCAUAUGAUAAGGAUUCAACAAGAACAACUCCUUUUGUUGAGAUCAGAGUUAAAAACAGUUUAGAAAUUAAUGAUCAAGGAGAGAGUUCUAAAGAAUACAAAACAGCUAACAUCUUUACAAACAAUCAAAAUUCUUUUAGGAAGGAAAUAAAUAUUUGUAAUCCGCCAGGGCCCGACACAACAAAUUGUACAAUCAAAGAUGUCAGUGUAAACCAGAAUUCAAAAGUGGAUGACAGUGAAAAUGUUAUUAAAACAACAGAACAAUUUUUAAUCAGUAAUACUAAGAUAAUAAAUUUGGUUGAACCAGAGAAAACACCAAGUCCAUCUGUUGAUUUGCAUUCCAUUCCUAAAUCUGAAAAUAUCAGAUCAGAUUGUAUGUUUGAAAAAUCUAUUGUUCAAGCGCCCAAAACAGACUAUUCCAUUUGUGGUUUGCUAAAACCUCAUGUUAUCAUAAAGAAUGAACAAGACAUGAGAGAGUAUGAUCUUGAUAAUCCAGAAGGUCACAGUAAUAUUCUUGUAAAGAGAGACUUCAGUAUAUAUUUAAGGGACAUUAAUGAAAAAAGCAUUUCCCCAAAACCAGCUGCUACAGUUGAAACUGAAACUGAGUUGCAUUUUAAUACAAAUAAACAACAUGGUGAUCGCAAAAAUUGUAAGGAGUCUCCACUACCAUACUCAAGCAAUAAUCAGAACUUCAUCAAAGAUUUAAAUUAUGAAAAUACUUUGAAUAAAGAUUUGAAUACUUGUUUGUUACAUAAAAUUUUAGGUGAAGAAGAUUGUCUUAAAAAUCCAUCUAGUGAAUGCCUUUUUGCAAAAGCUAACUUGGAGAAAUCCCUGUCAAAUGAUGUUUUAGAUAGGUUAACUGAUAGACAAGAUUCUACUGCUAACUCUGUGCCAGCUCCGGUUCAUAUUUCACUAAAACAUUGGCAAAAUUCUUCAGAUAUAAUAAAAAAUGAAAAAGUUGAUGGAAAAGCAAAAAACUAUGGUUGCAUUCGAGCUAAGUCAUUUUCAAAUGAGGAAAAAUGUUCUAGAAGUAUUUCAAGUGAAAUUACUACAAAAAGUACUACAGACGUGUUGCCUCAGGAAAAUGAACCAGAUAAUUUAGAAUUUGUUUUAAGAAAUGAGUGUGAUAACUUCAAUAGUACAUAUGAUUACGAGAGUGAAGAAGAUUCAAAUUUAGUCAUUGAUGAAGAUUUUGAUCCUGUAAAAGAACAUAAUGAAUCAGACGUUGAAGAAACUCGUUUUGCUGUCAGCUGUAUUUCAAAUGUAAAUGAAACUUUGAAUAAUAUACCAGUUAAUAGUAUACCAGACCUACGAGAGGAAGUUUGUAAAGAGUUGGUAACAAGAAAUGAAACAGUCAAAAAUCUCCACUACCUAGAAGUUCAGAAACAAAAUGAAAUCUUAGCUUCAGGACAGGAAGUGUUAGUAAGUGAUAGACAGUCUUCUAGUUGUCACUCCUUAGAUAUGAAAGAAAUUACAAUCAAUAAAACCUCACAUGUCAACAAUUUUUGUGUUAAAGAAAAUAAAACUUCAAAUAAUAAUUCAGCUAGCAAAAAUCUCUCUAGAAAAAGAGAUCAUAGUCUUUUGCUACCUGAAAAGAGUAAUUUAAACAUUAAGGAACCUCGCAGAGAAAGUACUUUUUCACCAUCAAAAAUUAUAAAAGUUGUAGACUUCAAAACUUUACAUGUUAAUAAACCAAGUAGUACUGAGAAACUGUCCAGCUCAACUCAUCCACAGGUAAAUAACACUAUAUUUAUGCCAAUAGAACAACCCACAAGCUCCAAAUUUAGUGUAGAAAACAAUCCACCCUUAAUUACAGAAAACAGAUAUUCAAAUUUUCAACACCAAAUCAAACAGCCAGUGUGUGAUAGUGUGAUUUCAGUCAAUAAUUCCUUACUAUCUCCCAAAAUACCUACCAAACCUAUACCACAAGAAAUUAAUAUUUACGGAAGCUUCAAUAAUUUCAAUCCAGAGAAUAAAGAGUGUAUAGCAACCAAUAACAGCAGACUUCCACCUUUUGAACAGUUUAACAAAUUGAAACCAGUUGUUAAUGAAAAGUAUCAAGAUUUGAAUUUAAACAUGGACACACAUGAUAAACUGAUAAAAGUACCAACAUAUCAAGACAGUACUACUGUGAAGUUUGUCACAAGUGAUUUACACACAGGUGUGAGAAACCAUAUUCAAAGUGGGGUUGCUAGUUACAGUGUGAAACUUCCUAGUAGGGGCACAAAACAGAAACAAACCUACUCAAAAAAGCAGGAGAAGUUGGAGGCUCAUCAACAGUUGAAAUCUGCUCAGAUGUUGUAUGACACUAAUCCAGUUCAAGAUCCGCUAUGCCUGGUUGUUAACAAGAAUAAGGAAAUAACCAGAGAAUCACUUUAUGAUUUUGUGUUCCCUGUUGCUCACGAAGUAGAAGUCUAUUCAGCUCCGGACAGUGAAAUCACUCACCCAGAUUGGCCGAUAGCCAAUGAACAAAGUGUUGACAGUUCGAAUCCAAUGCAGUACUCUCCAACGACAGACCAGUAUUCGUAUUCCUCAAAUCUAAAAUGUGAUCAGUAUUGUGGGACCAGUGAAAAUGAUCAAAAUUGUUUAGUAAAUUCCUUAGAAUUACAGCAAGUGUCUGUGGAUUUUCGGUAUCCUGAAAAUGUAGGUAAAGGGUUCAAUAAGGACAAGUUUAACUUGCACAGGAGGACUCUUGAAGUGGACUAUAAUUUGUGUUGUUCCCAACGUAAGUUCAAGGAGUUUUACCUUUCCCAGGAUGUACCACCGUCGAUCCCAGUGCCCUACCCUCCUCAAGGUCGAACAGACUUGAAGUCAUCCGUUAGGUGCAGUUGCGACCAGUGUUCAGAUAACCAUCAAAUACUUUUGAGGAACUACAAUCUUCUAACGAAUUUCCGAAACUCAAAAGUGAAGCCUUUAAGUUUAUAUCCAAAGAUAAACGAUAUUUUUCCCUCUGAUAGAGAUCUAAGUUGUGAAUCUGAUUGUAGUUUUGACUCCAGUUUACCAUUGAAGAAAAGAAAAACUCUGACUAACUCAAAACCCCCUGAGGAAUUGACUUCGUAUCCGAACACUCCCAUGAUGAGUAUAGCACAACUCGAGCUGGCUAAUUACGAACAACGGAACCAAGUCAUUGUCACAAACCCUCAGAGCCACUGGAAGGAUACUCAGGAUCCCCGCCAUGCUCUCUACCUGCCUCCAUGCCCAACACUACAACAGACUGUUCUUGAUACGGAUACCAAACAAAAUAAACGAAAAAGUGGGAAACGAAGAAAAAGUUCGAGGUAGGAAUACUGGAAUUAUUGCGAGUCAGGCAUGAAUGUUCUGUCGCCCUGUAAAAGCAAUUCCUUUUUUGCUUAGUUCCAAAUAACUGUUAUAUGUGUACGGAAAAAGUGAUUGUUUUUAAGUUUUGGUAUUUUUGUGUACAUUGAAUGUUAAAGAGUUAGUUUUCUGGUUUAUCAAUGAUGAACAUUGAGUCAACCAAGAGUCAGGCUGACCGGUUGAAUGAGUGAUACGAGUGUGAUACGAUUGGUACGAUCCUAGAAGUAGAAAAGUUCACUUCUUCCUUAUUAUGGCACUGUGCUGGUGAAAUGUUUUUAUUUCCUAACCUUUGCCUUUUUAAGUAUAUUUUUGUAAUACUCAUGAUUACUCCUCCGUGCAACCGACUGAUUGUUAAAUUAUUAUCAUUCUCUAGUCAUAAUAUAUAAGCAUAUUUUGUACUUGCAUUCAAAUUGGAUAUAUUUUUUAGAUUUAAAGCAAGUUAGUGUUAUGUUCAUAGAUAUAAGUACAUGGAUUCGCAUCAUAAGUUCUUUAUUGGCAGUUUAUUUGCGAAGCAUGUCUUGGUACUGGGUUCAGUGACGUUGGAUCUUUUUCAACUAGUUUAAAUGGAUAAAUGGCACAUUGAAUGAUAUAAAUACUGAAACCAUUAAUGAAGGUUUAUGAAAUGAUGGAGAAAUUCAACUGUUUACCAAUAUUUAACUCUUUCUUUAUGAGAUCUGGUUUGACAACAGGAGUGUAUCAAACUUACGCUGUCAACAAGAAAUGUUUCUUCAAGGACACCAGUGGAUUUUUGGUUUGGCUUGAAUUGAUUUCUAUUGAUACUCAAUCUCUUAUGAUUUUAAUUUCUUCAGAAUUCAGUUAGUUACUUUAGUUUUAUACCUUAUGGAUAGAACUGAAAUUGCAUUAACCUGUAUCAUGGAAUUUGUCAGAAGAAGAACGUCCGCAAUUUUUAAUUUGGAAUUUGAUAUUUUUGUAAACUGCAACUCAACAAGGAUUAAAAAAUAUACCAACAAUACAUUUGUUUCAAAAUGUUGAAUUAAAAAUGAAUAGAUAAUUAUUUCAGUAAUGUUUGAAAACAAUUACAAUAAUAAAUAACUGAAUAUGUAUAUAACUUUUAAUUUUCACAUUUAUGUUUGUUAAUUUUAUAAUUAACUUUUUUAAUAUUUGAAAGUAAAUUUACAAGCUGGAACCUUACACUAAAAUUUUUACUUACAACAGAAAAUUAUUUACAUUUUAUAAUUAUUGAGAAAAAGGAUACAGUUAUUUAUUUUUUAUCUUAAGAAGAUUAUGCAUUUGGUGGGUAGUAUUUUCAUUUUGAUUGUCAAUUUAUUGAAAUUUUAAUAUACUUAAUUUUUGGAUAAAUUGGGGAUAAAUAUUCAUCCAUCAAGACAGCAAAGGAUUUCAAGGGAGGCAUGUGCAACAUUUUAUUGGAACAAGGAUUUGAUUUAUUACCUGUAAGAAGUAUGGAAAUUUGUAAAUGAAAUAAUGAAUGGAUUGAACGCAAGUAAGAAACAGCCUAAACCAUUGUUUUGUGCAUUUUACAACAUUUUAUUAGAAGAUGAGUUUAAUUUCUAAUUAAGUAUAAAAAUAAUUAAAUUGAAUCAUGAAUGUAUUUAAACAAUUAAAAAAAAAAAACUAAGUCACCAAUUUGGUGUCCUUUACUAUUAUUGAGUGUAUGUUUCACAAAUAAGUUUGUUUUAAACUUAAUACAAAUAUCAAACUUACAACUAUAUUAAAAUUUAUUUUCCGUUUAAUAUUGUAACCAAACUAUUUUAUAUAUGAUAAAAAAUUAAGCCACAUGUUGAGCCACAUACCAUAUACAUGGAUAGUAUACUCAAGAAAGAAGAAUUAGCCAUCAAUUCAUAUAUUUAACAAUCAAAGAAAUACAAAUUAUAUUCAAUAUAAUUUAUAAUUUAUACAAAUUCAUGAACCAGACAGUAAAUUAGCAAAUAUAAUAAUUCAAAAUGAAGCUUUAAGCUUUUGAAAAAUUGAAGGACAUCUAAGAUACGAGCUUGAUGCACACCGCUGAUGGAGGUUAAUACCCAGGGGAACUUGAGACAUUAUCUGUCAGAAGAUCAGGAUCAAAGUGUUUCUCACGUUACGCCCUGGCCAUAUAUUAAUGCGAACAUGGUAUUCUACUUGAAUUUGCUACUCGGCAGGACUAGGCCUCAUCUUUUCUGAUGGAACUAUUUAAGAUCCUAAAAUAGUUCAUUUGACUUAGAGUAUUAAUAUCAGACUGAAACUACUGGAUAUUCCAAACUGGCUGUGAAAUAUUAGGCACCAAUAUUACAUGUGCUGAAAAUUCAAGAAUUUUUCUAUCAUUUUAUAACUUCCUUGAAAAUUAUACAUUUACAGAUAAUUUAAAUUUGACAACCCAUGUGUUACAAUUAAGUUUUGGAGUAAAUUUUAUCUAACAUUGACAAUAGUUCUACAACAAUUAUUUAAUAAUAUAGAUGAAGCUAUAAUUCAAUUAUAAAUUAAAUUUAGUUACUGUGUUUAAUUUCAAAACGAAAUAUUUUUUAUGUAAACAAUGUUAGUUGAAUGUACAUAGCUCUUAUGUAUGAUUGUUAUGUGUUCAUAGUCGUACUGUCCCAGCAUUGUUCAACGUUUCUCUUGAUCUCAGUGUGGCUUGUGUUAUCGGUAAUUCUGUGUAGAUUGUUUUAUGUUACUAUAACUUUGGCACAGACAUCACACUAAAUGUUACUAUCAAACUUCUUUGUUGGACGGCAAUCUCUAUAAUUUAUUUAGAGACAUGAAAUAAGCUGUAAAGAAAAUGAUGAGAAAUGUAAUAUACCUUAAUACAAGAGAUAUUUUGAUCAACCUCUAAAGGGAUAAACAUAUUUUUAAAUGUGAGAAUAUUCUUAAAGUUUGAGAACCUAGGCUCUAAGCAUUAGUUCCAGAUUAGAUGAAAGAAAUUAUAAUGUAACAGUCAAGGGGCUGAUAAAUAACCUUUUAGGGAUUUAAUUUUUGAAAAUGAUGUCCUGCACAUCAAUUUAGGUCCUAUAAACCACUUUUUUUACACAAUUCAUAAUACUUUACUUCCUCAGUGGGAUACACAGUGAGAGGUCCAUAGAAAUAAAACUUAGAUUUAAGUGUAGAUAAAGCUCUAUGUAAUUUUAAAGGUUUCAUAUAUAAAUUAUGCAUAAACAUAACAUUUGUACAAUUCUUUAAAAUUAGUUGGUUAUAGUUUUUGAAUAUAGGGUGUAAAUUCACUUUAUCAUUAUUUAUUCAUGAGAUUUAAAAAAACGAUAAAUUCAAAAAAUUAAUACAAUAUAAAGAGAUCUAAAAACGUGUUAAUAUAAUUAUAUAUAUAUAUAUAUAUAUAUUAUAUAUAUAUAUAUAUAUAUAUUAUUAUAUAUUUAUAUUUCUGUAUUUCUCUUAGCUACAAUUUUCUUAGGUUUUAAAACAGUAAUGUUAAUUUGCACAUGGGAAGGGUUAAUGACACAAACUUAUUUUGUUGGUCUAUAUUCAUAGCAAAGAUUCAAAAUUGUAAUAUAAACAGUUAACUAAGCCUCCAUGCUCUUCUUAUUCAACCUCUCAUUAAAUUCUUGUUUUUUUUUUGUAACUUUUACUCAAUAAACCGUCUUAUAAAUAAUUUUAAAUAUACCAUUUGCUUAACACAUUAUUUCAACACAUUACUUAAAUUGAAAUUACCUCUAUUCAGUCAUUUUAUACAUUGAAAAGAAUGCAAAACAUCAACUAUUCUGUCAAUAGAGGUAUUUUAAGUUUUAUGAGAUAGUAACAAUAAUCUGACGAUACUAACAAAACUCAACUGCCUCAGCAUACACUAUGCCUAUAUGGCCUGGGUACGAGUUAAUGUUGUUCAUUCAACUGGCUUGUAAUUAAUAUCAAACUUUGAGAAUAUUUGUUCAUUUAAAUUUUCCAUCCUUCCUGUGGUGGAUAAAAAAAUAUCGCUUGAGUAUUAAUAAAUGUAUAUUUUAUAAUAAAUUUUAUCAGAUGUAUUUAUAUUGUGAAAUUUGUUGUAAAAUAGUUUUUAAUUACCUAAUUUUUAAGAAUAAUUUGUUAGCAUUAAAAAAAAUACUACAAUAGUAAAUUUUAAUUCAACAUAAGUCCUAAAAUAAUUUUGCAUUUAAUAAUCUGAUGUAUUCAUUAAAUGUUCAUUAUAAUUAUGACUAUUUAAAAUACAAGAACAAGGUUCACUAUUAAAAAUCAGAAUUUUUGGAUAUGUUUCCUUUGUGAGCUUAACAAAACUAAUCUCAUUAUAUAGAAUAUAUAUAUAUAUAUAUAUAAAAAUUAUUACAAAACUUAACAAUCCUAAUUUGUGAUGUUUGAGACCCGUUUCGAUUUGUAUUAAAUAAUCAUGGAGUCAUGUAGGAAGACUGAUCAUGUUUUUUUCAGUCAGUUUAGGAUAGUUAGUUAUUUUUAAAUGUUCAGACAUCGGUCAAAUAUAAAACACAUAAAAAUACAAAACAAAUAAAACAAUGUACUGCUUGAUGAUGGUUGUUUGUGAUAACCUCAAGACAGAUUGUUGCUGUAUUUGAACUUGGAUGUUACUGUCACGUUGACAUUCAUUUGUUGUCAUGUAGCUAUUGUGUAUGUGGGAAGUGAAAUUUAACAAACAUGCAUUAUAAUUUUUUUACCUCAUAUGUUGUAUAUUUUAAAACAAUCAAUUACCGUAAACUGUGUGAUAAAGAACGUGACAAGUCGUGCUAUUUGAGACCAUGACUUGUCUCAAACACCACAAUUAAGGAGAGUAACCAUUUUAUAUAUAUAUAUAUAUAUAUAUAUAUAUAUAUAU